rnacentral:rRNA from 1 species
UACGAAGGGUGCAAGCGUUACUCGGAAUUACUGGGCGUAAAGCGUGCGUAGGUGGUGAGUUAAGUCUGUCGUGAAAGCCCCGGGCUCAACCUGGGAAUGGCGAUGGAUACUGGCUCGCUAGAGUGCGGUAGAGGAGAGUGGAAUUCCAGGUGUAGCGGUGAAAUGCGUAGAUAUCUGGAGGAACACCGGUGGCGAAGGCGGCAUCCUGGACCAACACUGACACUGAGGAGCGAAAGCCAGGGGAGCAAACGGG